GAUGAACGCUAGCGAUAGGCUUAACACAUGCAAGUCGAGGGGCAGCAUGGUCUUAGCUUGCUCAGACUGAUGGCGACCGGCGCACGGGUGCGUAACGCGUAUGCAACUUGCCUCACAGAGGGGGAUAACCCGUCGAAAGACGGACUAAUACCGCGUACACUCCAUCUUGGGCAUCCAAGGUAGAGGAAAUGAAAUUCGCUGUGAGAUAGGCAUGCGUCCCAUUAGCUAGUUGGUGAGGUAACGGCUCACCAAGGCGACGAUGGGUAGGGGAACUGAGAGGUUGAACCCCCACACUGGUACUGAGACACGGACCAGACUCCUACGGGAGGCAGCAGUGAGGAAUAUUGGUCAAUGGGCGAGAGCCUGAACCAGCCAAGUCGCGUGAAGGAUGACUGUCUUAUGGAUUGUAAACUUCUUUUAGACGGGAAUAACAAGAGUCACGGGUGACUCCCUGCAUGUACCGGAUGAAUAAGCAGCGGCUAACUCCGUG
rnacentral:rRNA from 1 species